UCCUAGCUGUAAACGAUGGACACUAGGUGUUGGCCGUAUCGACCCGGUCAGUAUCGAAGCAAACGCGUUAAGUGUCCCGCCUGGGGAGUACGCACGCAAGUGUGAAACUCAAAGGAAUUGACGGGGGCCCGCACAAGCGGUGGAGUAUGUGGUUUAAUUCGAUGCAACGCGAAGAACCUUACCAGGGAUUGACAUCCUACGAAUCUUUCUGAAAGGAGAGAGUGCCUUCGGGAGCGUAGAGACAGGUGGUGCAUGGCUGUCGUCAGCUCGUGUCGUGAGAUGUUGGGUUAAGUCCCGCAACGAGCGCAACCCUCGUCCUUAGUUGCCAUCAUUAAGUUGGGCACUUUAAGGAGACUGCCGGUGACAAACCGGAGGAAGGUGGGGAUGACGUCAAGUCAUCAUGCCCCUUACAUCCUGGGCUACACACGUACUACAAUGCAACGGACAAAGGGCAGCCAACUAGCGAUAGUGCGCUAAUCCCAUAAACCGUUGCUCAGUUCAGAUUGCAGGCUGCAACUCGCCUGCAUGAAGGCGGAAUCGCUAGUAAUCGCAGGUCAGCAUACUGCGGUGAAUACGUUCCCGGGCCUUGUACACACCGCCCGUCACACCAUGGAAGUUGGCCACGCCCGAAGUCGUUACCCCAACCGUUUACGGAGGGGGACGCCGAAGGCAGGGCUGAUGACUGGGGUGAAGUCGUAACAAGGUAACC
rnacentral:rRNA from 1 species